GAUGAACGCUGGCGGCGUGCCUAAUACAUGCAAGUCGAGCGAACGGACCAGAAGCUUUCUUCUCUGAUGUUAUCGGCGGUCGGGUGAGUAACUUGUGGUUAACCUACCUAUAAGACUGGGAUAAUUUCGCGAAAUCGUAGCUACUACCGGAUAAUAUUUUGAACCGCAUGGUUCAAACGUGAAAUACGGUCUUUCUUUCACUUAUAGAUUGAUCCGCACUGCAUUAGCUAGUUGGUAAGGUAACGGCUUACCAAGGCAACGAUGCAUAGCCGACCUGAGAGGGUGGUCGGACACACGGGAACUGAGAAACGGUCCAGACUCCGACGGGAAGCAGCAGUAGAGAAUCUUACGCAAUGGGCGAGAGCCUGACGGAGGAACGCCGGGUGAGUGAUGAAGGACUUCGGAUCGUAAAACUCUGUUAUUAGGGAAGAACAUAUGUGUAAGUAACUGUGCACAUCUUGACGGUACCUAAUCAAAAAGCCACGGCUAACUACGUG
rnacentral:rRNA from 1 species